CACACGACUGGCUCCCACACAGUUUCCAUCAAUUAAUUCACUCUGGCGACCCGCACUUAUAGUAGAAAUCACUAGCCCGAGGUGCUGCGUAUUGGAGCCACAAGGCUGCAAAGAUAUCACCAGAAAAAGUCGUACACCAAAGUGCCA